ACUUAUAAUUCUCAAUGAGAAUUGAUUGUAAAAAGUCUACCAAAUAAAAAAAAAAAAUUUAUGGCUCUGUGACAAUUACGACGCGCGAUUGCAAGAAUUGCGUAUACGCAAUGUCAUGUUUCAGAAAAAGAUCACAAAAUUAAACACGUGUUUAAGUGGCUAUAAUUCGAUAAAAACAGAUAUAAGAGAUUUUUGAAAUAUCUACUGAAUGGAAAACAGAUAUGACGAAAAAUGCAGCUUCGUUUGACGCCAAAUUGUAUCGAUAAUGGAAGGAAUAUCUAUAAAUUCAGUUUCUCUGUAUCAAAACGUAACGUUCAAUAAUUUUUCGUGAUUUUACGCCAUUAAUUUCUAAAGCGUUACGCAUCGAAAUUAUCGGUACCGUGAAAGAUUUAAAAAUAAACGAUAUUUAUCGAAAUGUAUCAGGACGAAAAUUGAUACAAAUUUCACCGUUGACAUUUCUUUUUGACAUUACAAAUAUCUUCUUUCGCGGUUUGGGAAAUAUUAAAUAGAAAAGGAGCGUUUCUCGAGGAAUGUUUAAUCUUCUCGCGAACCUAAGUGAAUUAUUGCACUACAACGUUGAUAAUUUACAGCAAAGUAUACUAAAGUCUUUAGAUUAGAAGAAUGCGAUAAUCGGAAGAAGGGGAAUAUCUCGUGAAACGCCCGUGAUCGGACGAGCUGAUCAAUUGCAUCGAAUCGCGAUAUCAUCAAGUUGCAAUGAAUUGUAUCGAAUUGCAAUAUUGCUAAGUUACACCGGAUUGCGCCUAAUUGCGCUCAAUUGCAACUAAUCGCACCAAAUCGCACCGAGUCGCGCCAAAUUGCACCCAAUUGCAGCGAAUCGUCCCGAAUCGCAAUAUGUAGUUCACGCAUCGUUAUCUACGAAAAUUAAAAAAAAAGAAAAAUGGUAUGACAUCACAACAUAAUCGCACAAUGUCAUUGUACCAAACGUAAUCGAAUAUCUCGGCAAACACGAAUGGUACGAAAAAACGUUUCGCAGAAAAAUUUCAACGAUGUACUCUUCUCUGUUAAAACACACUGAAUCGUCACUCUGUUCGAUUCGUAUAAUAAAUUUUACUACCAAAUGUAUCUAAAUUUCAAUUCUUUACCUUAUUUGUGAAACGUUCGAACUGCGACGCGAGCCUCUCACCGGUGAUCCGUCAAUUUCGUGAUUUCUUGCGUCUCCGACGUGACAUAAUCGUUGUAACGUAACGAGGAAACGCGAUACAUGGAAACAGUGCGUGUAAAAUUAUUCUUCUAAAACAUUGCCAUUUCUCGUUGCAAGUAAAGUAAUCGUCUUUCUCCGUGUUAUUUUAUUUUACGUAAAAAAUGCAAUUUUCAUAAAUAUCGCGAUUCGAUAAACGAAAGAAAAUUUCAAUGUUGAAUAUCUCGAAACACAGUUUUGCCAUAUACGCGGUAUCCCAAACUCGUCGAUUCGCUGAUAUUACCAUUCGGUACAUUUGAUCCAAUUCGUUCAUAUCGACGUUCGACACAAUCCGCUACUAUCGCGAUCCUCUCGAUUCGGUGUUAUCGGCUAUUGCGAUUUAACGCGAUCCCACUGCACGAUACUCGUACGGCGCGAUUGAAAAAUUGCUUUGAAACAAAAUUCAAAAAUAUAACGUGGUAUAGAAAAAUAACCGAAUCGAGGAGAUAACAGGAGAAGGAACUUUUGCGAAUGAGCAAGACAGAAAUUUCGAACCGCCGACGCUCGUCGAAUAUCUGGCAAACGCUCGCGUUUGUCGGAAACGCGCGUUCGCUGAAUACCCGGCUUAAGGAUUCGUAAUCCUGGGUUCGAAGUCGCAAGGAGAACGCGGCGGAACCCUCGAAACUUUAUCGAUCUUUCAAUCACUGCACGACAAAGACGGAGAGAGUACGGAAAUCGAGCGACCCCAACUCAUCGCGGUGAACCCCCUUGGUUGCUCGCCCCAAGCUUUUGUUUUCAAACGAGUCGCCUCUUCAACGAGAAUUUUUGCGGAGACAGUGACGAUUCCUCGGCAACUUUAGGUAUCUUUGUGUACUCGGAUAAAGUUAUUGCUUUCCUCUUUAGGGGAACCCGGGGAGGUGUUUUGGUGGUUGAAAGUGGAGGAGCGAGGAUUUCCAAUUGAAUCGUCGUUCGAUCGAGAAACAGGGAAAUUCUACGUUUGAUCGAGUAAAAUUGAAUCGAUAACGAGUACGUGAUUAGGCUUCGUAUCAGGCUGCGUUUAUCUUGAAAGAUAAAUAAUUUAAUAAUAAUAAUAUUAGGUUGUCCGAAAAGUUUCUUUCUGUUUUAACAAUUUCUGUUUUAUAUUAUUUUAUUCAAUUAGCUAUGAUCCAUUUCUAUUAUUAUGUUCGCGCAUAAUUUAACAAACUAACAUUGUGCGUCUACUAUUUCCUUUUAAAACGAAAGAAACUUUUAAUAACUUUAACUACGGCCUAUCUGUACAAUAUGCAGAACAGUCUCUUCGAUUCGUCAAACGUCGUAUCUACAGUUUCGAAACUGAAGCAAUUUAACCCCUUCGUUUCUCUUCGUUCGAUUAAAAAGAAACAGUCGGUUAUUUCGUAGCAUCGUACCGUGCAAUUGUACAUGAAAGAAUCAAAGCACGCGGAACUAGAAACAUUUCGACACGCAAUCUUGAAAAACCAGGAAGAUAGACGCUAGAUAGGACGUUUUAAUUGAGAAGAUGAGAAUACGCCGAGAGCGAAGUUCAAAGACCCGAGAAAGCUGCGAGAAUAAUCCCGCGAGUAGUUAGCCGGCUAUCAGCAGAGUGCGAUCGAAGCGGCGUUGACGAAAAAGUAAAAUAAAGACGAAAGAACUGCGAAAUUAUAUCGCUGACGAUCCCUGAACACCGAUAAGGCGAGAGAAACGGGGGAGACAGCGACGCGAUCCGCUCCUGAAUUUACGAGGCUCCGCGGGUGCCGAGGGUGCAGGGGCGUACAGACGUGGCGCCGGGCGUCCCGACGCCUAGACUGGCAGGGGCCGCACGCACGUUGACCGUGAAACGCGCGCGACAUCGUGUUAAACUCUGCUCCUCCACAGCUUUGCUUAUCGAUGUUUCCUUCUUUCUAUUCGACUAGUUCUCUACGCUUCUCUAGUUAGUAGCUUACAAGUUGCGAUUUACAAGAGGCGUUACGACGAAUAAUAUUCUAGUGGAUUUAUUUGUUUAUUGUAAAAGUCAUAUGGUAACAGAAAAUAUAGGAACGAUGCGCGAGAAAAAAGUUAAGUGGCAAGAAUUACUAACUAAUAAGAUAAGAAGAACGAGACGGACAAGAUGAGAGAGUAUUCGCUGGAGUUUAAGUAAGCGAGCUACAGAAGAAAGACGAGUGGAAGUACGUGCACUAUUGGCGUGUAGUAUCAUACGGUUGAAGCAGCUAAAAUAACCAUACAGUGUACGAUGAUGCUCAACUCGCGGUAGUUCCGGAUGACCUGAAUCUGAUUUGAGGAAGCGAAGGAAUGGCCAGAUUAGAUAGAUCGGUUAGAUUCGUGAGAGAAAAAUUGACGUUACACGGUGUACUCGAAGGACAUUGGAAAGAUGAAAUAUGCGAAUCGCUGUCGUCGUUUCGCGACAGGAUGGACGUGUCCUCUUGUUGGAAAGCCAGGACCUUCGAGCGCGCAACGCACGUAUCACUCACACGAGCGUGUGUCAGUGAAAAUCGCGUCUCGCAAUUUAACUCGAGAUCACGAAGUCUUCGCGUGUACGCCUGUAAAAAUAUUUCACACUUUCUUUAGAAACUAUUAGCGCGAAUUAACUUCUAAACUGAGAACACGAGUAAUACAAUAAUAUCCUUGCUUGGACAUUUCUUAUAUUUCGUGUUCCUUCGUUUUUCUCAGAGGUGAGUUACAUUGCUAAACUGUGUUCAUGUAGAUAUUUAUGUGUUCAUGGCACGUAUAGAUAUUUUGGAAUAUACAAACAUCAAGAUCACGAUGUUGUUCGGAUUUUGAUUUUUAACAUUAAAACUACCACGCCAGUCAAAUUGACUGGUUUUACAAUCUUA